rnacentral:rRNA from 1 species
CCUACGGGAGGCAGCAGUGAGGAAUAUUGGUCAAUGGGCGAGAGCCUGAACCAGCCAAGUCGCGUGAGGGCGUACUUCCCUAUGGGUUGUAAACCUCUUUUGUCGGGGAGCAAAAGCCGGACGUGUCCGGCUGUGAGAGUACCCGAAGAAAAAGCAUCGGCUAACUCCGUGCCAGCAGCCGCGGUAAUACGGAGGAUGCGAGCGUUAUCCGGAUUUAUUGGGUUUAAAGGGUGCGCAGGCGGAUUUUUAAGUCAGCGGUAAAAUCGUGGGGCUCAACCCCAUCCAGCCGUUGAAACUGGGGAUCUAGAGUGUGCGAGAGGUAUGCGGAAUGCGUGGUGUAGCGGUGAAAUGCAUAGAUAUCACGCAGAACCCCGAUUGCGAAGGCAGCAUACCGGUGCACAACUGACGCUCAGGCACGAAAGCGUGGGUAUCGAACAGGAUUAGAUACCCGAGUAGUC